AGGACGAACGCUGGCGGUGUGCUUCACACAUGCAAGUCGAACGGGGUAGCAAUACCCAGUGGCGGACGGGUGAGUAACACGUGGGAAUCUGCCUUUAGAUGGGGGAUAACUGACCGAAAGGUUAGCUAAUACCGCAUAUGCCGCAAGGUAAAAGGAGCAAUCCGUCUGAAGAUGAGCCCGCGUCCGAUUAGCUAGUUGGUAGGGUAAAAGCCUACCAAGGCUACGAUCGGUAGCUGGUCUGAGAGGAUGAUCAGCCACAAUGGGACUGAGACACGGCCCAUACUCCUACGGGAGGCAGCAGUGGGGAAUUUGUGCAAUGGGGGAAACCCUGACACAGCGACACCGCGUGAGCGAAGAAGCCCCUUGGGGUGUAAAGCUCUGUCGACAGGGACGAAAAAAUGACGGUACCUGUAGAGGAAGCAUCGGCUAACUACGUGCCAGCAGCCGC
rnacentral:rRNA from 1 species